GCGAGACCCGGGCUGCCCUUGCUCCUAGCCGCUGUCCCUCGACCCUGCGCGCCGCACUCCAGGAAAAAAAUGCGUGCUCACCGAGAAACACGUUUUUGCCAAAUAAAUUUAAACGGAAGGAAAGAAACGUGUACACGCCGGGCGAAAUGGACGUAAAAAGAAAACCACAACGAACAGGCCAAACCAGGUGCUUCUACGAGUUUGCAACAUGAAGUUUAGGAAACAUUGGUUGGUGUGUUGAAGUAUUCUACCGUUUAUGCUGUAAUGACCCACUGCAGGAACGACCAGACAAAAGCAACCCGAGACGUGUGCCUGCACAGGAAAUCGCCAUGUGUGGUUGUGUUAGCUUUCUGACAAAAUGCCCCACCGAGCAGCUUCAAAAGAAGACGUUGUUUGGUUCACAACCUCGGAACUUCAGUCCAUGGUUGCUUGACCCCAAUGUCUUUUGAGGUCUGUGUGAAGCCAAAGUGUCAUAGCAUCUUCUAAUGCAGCAUGAGGCAAGGAGAUUGGGGGCAAGAUACACCCUCCGAAGCCACGCCUCCAAUGACUUAAUCCAUCGCGUGAAGUCACUACACUACACCAGCUGGGAACCACGUGGCCAAGCGUGCACUCUCAGUGCUUCCUGUCCACGCCAUAAUAAACGUGUUUCUCAUUUCUAGAGGUGAA